GUGAGAAGCAGCGAGCCUGUCCCACACGACUGCCACUCUCUGGUCCCUCCUGCAUGAGCUUAAGAACAGGACAGUGCCACCGAACGGCAGCCCAAGGGGUCAAGGAGCACGCCAAGCUGCACCCAGGGCUGCCCUCCGAGGAGGUCUUCCUGCCAGGCUGACGGCCACAAGGAAGACGGUGUGGCUGGGGGUGUGGCUCCGCCGUACAGCGCUUGCUUAGCAUGAGCGAGGCCCUGGCUGCCAUCCCCGGUACCAGCGCCACAGGCACACCUGACGGAGAGGAAGGAAGGAAGGAAGGAGCACACAUGCAAUAGACACGAACAGCACGCAGCGCAUCCACGUUGCGCCUACUGUCACCGUCGUCACCUUCACGGCUCCGCUCGCUCUUCCUGAGCGCACUGUGUGUGCCAGGCCUUCUUCUAAGCAUUCCUGGCUUCCGGCAUCCGUC
rnacentral:lncRNA from 1 species